AUCAACUUUCGAUGGUAGGAUAGAGGCCUACCAUGGUGGUAACGGGUAACGGGGUGUUAGGGCACGACACCGGAGAGGGAGCCUGAGAAACGGCUACCACAUCCAAGGAUGGCAGCAGGCGCGCAAAUUACCCAAUCCCGACACGGGGAGGUAGUGACAAUAAAUAACAAUACGGGGUUCUUUCGGAUCUCGUAAUUGGAAUGAGUACAAUUUAAAUCUCUUAACGAGGAACAAUUGGAGGGCAAGUCUGGUGCCAGCAGCCGCGGUAAUUCCAGCUCCAAUAGCGUAUAUUAAAGUUGUUGCAGUUAAAAAGCUCGUAGUUGGAUUUCGGGAUCGAAUUGUUGGUCGUGCUUCGGUACGCACUGGCAUUAUCGGUUUCUACCUUCUGAAGAACCGCGAUGUCAUUAAUUUGGUGUCGUGGGGAAUCAGGACUGCUACUUUGAAAAAAUUAGAGUGUUUAAAGCAGGCUUACGCUUGAAUACAUUAGCAUGGAAUAAUGAAAUAGGACGUUUGAUUCUAUUUUGUUGGUUUUUAGGAUCGACGUAAUGAUUAAUAGGGAUAGUUGGGGGCAUUAGUAUUCAAUUGUCAGAGGUGAAAUUCUUGGAUUUAUUGAAGACUAACUACUGCGAAAGCAUUUGCCAAGGAUGUUUUCAUUAAUCAAGAACGAAAGUUAGGGGAUCGAAGACGAUCAGAUACCGUCGUAGUCUUAACCAUAAACUAUGCCGACUAGGGAUCGGAUGAUGUUAAUUUUAUAAUGACUCAUUCGGCGCCUUACGGGAAACCAAAGUGUUUGGGUUC
rnacentral:rRNA from 1 species